GACGAACGCUGGCGGCGUGCCUAACACAUGCAAGUCGAACGGAAAGGCCCUGCUUUUGGGGGGUGCGCGAGUGGCGAACGGGUGAGUAACACGUGAGUAACCUGCCCUUGACUGUGGGGUAACUUCAGGAAACUGGGGCUAAUACCGCAUAGGAUCUAUUGCUCCAUGGUGGGGGUUGGAAAGUUUCGGCGGUUGGGGAUGGAAUCGCGGCUUAUCAGCUUGUUGGUGGGGUAGUGGAUGACCAAGGCUUUGACGGGUAGGCGGCCUGGGAGGAUGAGAGGCCCCAUUAGAACUGGGAUAAGGCCCAGCCCCGUACGGGACGCAACGGUGGGGAGUAUAACAAAAUGCGCUGAGGCAUGGUGCAGCACCGCUGCGUGCGGGAUGACGGCCAUCCGGUUGUGAACCAAUUUCGCCUGUCCCGAGGCGAGAGUGACGGUAAUGGGUAAAGAAGCACCGGCUAACUACGUG
rnacentral:rRNA from 1 species